CUGGGAGUACUCACGUAGGAAUCCAAGCAAAAGUUGGCUAACACAAGGACCCUAUGAAUGCUGAUGUAAUGCCUGAAGAAACCACACCCAGAAUACAGACACUCUCACUAUUGCCGGCCCUUCCCCUCCGUAUUCUGGAGGCAGGAUGGCGAGUGAGAAGAAAUCACUUAAAGUGUCGUGGAAAUCAGCACCAUGCAUAUGGAUCUACGGAGGAGAGACGUGACUUGCUUUUAAAAGAAGGGACGAAUCAUGGCAAAGACCGGCCGGAAGAACAUUGGCUGGUUGACCAGAUGAAUUCCUCUAACUUUCAGUGGAAAAGAGUCCUGACAAGAGCGCACACACACACACACACACACACACACACACACACACACACACAGGUUAGUGAAAAAUAACCCCUCUCUAACAGAAAACAGCUAAGAUGAAUAUGAUGAUCUCCGGCAGACAAAUGAAGUUAAACUAUUUGGGAGAUAAGUCUGUCACCGAAAUGUCCUGUGGUGUAACAUACUGUCAUAACGUAAUUCGUUAAGAGCUGAAGUUCUUCCUUUUUAUUUUUGGAUAGAACCUCUUUUAAAAAGUUGGAUGUCAUGUUCAUAGCAACAGAAAUUUUCUUGUGGAUAAAGACCCAUAAGAAGCACAGGAUCAUAGCAUGCAGAGUUAGAACUAUGAUCUAAGGUCUACCGAAAGUACAGAGGAAAUCUUUCUGGCGAGGGAAGGGUUAAUCUGCCAGGCGUGGCCUAAGCGCCAUCCCUGCAGGUCAAAUAUGGCCUUCAGACCCCGCCUCUGCGUCUGCGUCUCCAUGGAGAUGAUCUCUGAUGUCAUCAGGCUGACCCUGAACACCUGGAAGGCCGACCAGUCUUUCGGGUUCCAUUGCCCUGCAGACAGACAGACAGACUCGCAUGGACUACAAUCAGUCUUUACCCUGCAUUACGCAAUAUUUUUAAAAUCAACAUUUAAUCAAA